rnacentral:snRNA from 1 species
AUACUUACGUGGUGCCGGGGCCUCUUUGAUUACAUAGGACAAGCCCGCAGGGUGAGGCGCGGGCAUUGCGCUGCGCUCGCGUUGACCCCUGCCACUACCACAAUCCGGGGCAGAUGGGGCAUUCAAAUUGC